AGGGUUCGAUCAUGGCUCAGGACGAACGCUGGCGGUAUGCUUAACACAUGCAAGUCGAACGAGAAGAUCAGUUAAGAACCUUCGGGGGAAUAAGUGAUUGGAAAGUGGCGAACGGGUGAGUAACGCGUGGGUAACCUGCCCUAUGGAAAGGAAUAGCCUCGGGAAACUGGGAGUAAAGCCUUAUAUUAUGGAGAGAUCGCAUGGUCAUUUCAUGAAAACUCCGGUGCCAUAGGAUGGACCCGCGUCCCAUUAGCUAGUUGGUGAGAUAACAGCCCACCAAGGCGACGAUGGGUAACCGGUCUGAGAGGGCGAACGGUCACACUGGAACUGAGACACGGUCCAG
rnacentral:rRNA from 1 species